UCUAGGAGAGCAGAAGGUGAUACUAGCUGCUUUUCUUCAGUACCAACACUAGCUGGGAACAAAGCAUGUUCUAGCUAAAUAGUCCUUCUAGGGCAAAGAAUUUACCAUGUAACAAAUAGUUUGAGAAAAACCUUCUGUUUUUUCUCUUUAAAUCCUUUUGUGCUUGGAAACUGCCUUAUUUCCCAGUAUGGUUUCUGAGUGUACAAGCUACUCAAUGGAACAGGUCCCAGUGAUAUUUCACUGUUUGCCUCAAGAUUCUGUUUUGGCUUUUGAUUAACUUUUUCCUGGAGUUGUUACUGAUCCACUCUGGGAACUUGGUGAAUUGGAUGCCAACUCUCAUACCUAACUGUCCUGCCCCUUAAGAUUAAAACUAACUGCUCUGAACUCUAGCUUGGCAAUGGAUGCAGAGGAUGCUAUGAAACAGGAUGCUGAGCAGCCCCCAGACACUGAGUCACUGGUUGAAGGUGUGAGAACCCUGCUAAGAUCCCUUGAAGUCCGGCAGCAGCGCCUCCUGGCAAACAUUGCCAGCUGCGACAAGCUGAUGGCAGAAAUCACCAGUCUUCAGGCCGCUCUCUGGGCUCCUGCCAGAACAGAGGGCAGCUCCUUGCCUGUGCAAGAAGAGAACAAGAAUUCCUGAAAUGCUUAAUGAGCUGAUCACCUGAGGGCUAUUGAUGAAGGAAGCCACUACAACUCUCGUUGCCUGUACCCUACAAAAUGUACUUAGCCCUCUAGUCCCUGAACUCUUUGCGUACGUUUGGUGUGGUGUGUAAGUACAUGUUGCUGUGACCUCAACUCUCAAGUCCAUUGUCUAGAAAUAAAUGACAACUGUUUACUCUAGCUCUGAGAAAACUUGUGACAGGCUGAAGCUAAUAGCCUGGAAAAAGAAACAGUCUUACAACAAGCCCAGCUCUGAUCAGUGCUGCUGACCCCACUCAAGCUCUCUGCUGUUGCCUUGGGUCGCUAACAGGAAAGUAGAUUCCCCUCCAGUCUCAGGAUCUUUUAGUGCACAGCUGGAAUAGUUGCACUGCAGGGGCUGCAUCUCACCUUUUGUCCUGAUGAUCUGUGUCCUUCAUCCCUUCCUACCUUCAGCAGAGGGUGGCUCCAGAUUGUAAAUUCCUUCCCCCCCUCUGUUCCUACCUGCAUUUUGAAUUGGGGAGGAGUAUUACCAUGGAGCAGUGACUCCUCCCUGAGGGAGUGUGAAACCUUUGACAGCACAUCAGACAGCUGCUGCUACCUUGCUUUCUGCUCCAUAUGAUUUAGGCUGCUCUGGGGAGACACAGAAGACCAGCAGCUUGUUUCCUGCUUCCCAGCUGCCCUGGUUUGACACUAGACAUUUCAGAUUAGGAGCUUGAGGAAGCUGCUGCCAGAGCCAACAUGCUUUGAUUUACUUCAGUUUGACUGAGAACAGGUUAAAGAGGGUGCCUACAAUAAUCAUGGAAGAAUUGACCCACUUUGAGCCUCACUGUGCAGCUCCAGAGCAUUCUGCUCCUGGAAAGGCAGGGCUGUGGCUGGAGUGAGAUGAAGCCUCAGUGUUGCCCCUGAUGUGCUCUGACCAAUGCUUUGUACCCAAAGUGCGAUCAUCUCACUGGCCUUCUCCUUCCCCCAGCUGUUUGUUGUAUCCACCUAUUUUAUCAUCACAGACUUGGUCCUUGUCGUGAAGAGCUUGAUUCUCUCCCUUUAGUGUGUCAAGUGUCUAGCACAAGGAGGUCUCAAUCCUGGAGUAGAGUUCCUUUGUGCUCCUGUAAUACAAAUCCUAGACCACUGACAAUAUAAGAGGGCAGAACAUAAAGUCAGCUCUGCUGCUGGGGAGAGACUUGCCCAAACACUUCAGCCCUAAAUUAUUAGGGACCUUAUGUACCCCCUGAGGUCCUUAAAUUGGCUCACCAGGUACUCGUAGAGAGGUCAGCAGCCAGUAUUUAUUCCCUUGCCCCUAAAGCAAAUAAGUACCCUCCUUUGGCAGCUUCUGGAUCAUUUUUGAGAGGCCAGUUACUGCACCUGAGCCAGGCUCUCACCUAUUUGAGACUUUUCA